UUCUUAUCAAGAGAAGUGGAGGGACUGGCCCGAUGAAGCUUCAGCAACCGGAUACCCAUGGGUACCACGGUGCUAAAUCCAACGUGCUUUCUUUUCGGCACGAAAGAUAAGAA
rnacentral:ncRNA from 2 species